rnacentral:rRNA from 1 species
GACGAACGCUGGCGGCGUGCCUAACACAUGCAAGUCGAACGGAAAGGCCCUGCUUUUGUGGGGUGCUCGAGUGGCGAACGGGUGAGUAACACGUGAGUAACCUGCCCUUGACUUUGGGAUAACUUCAGGAAACUGGGGCUAAUACCGGAUAGGAGCUCCUGCUGCAUGGUGGGGGUUGGAAAGUUUCGGCGGUUGGGGAUGGACUCGCGGCUUAUCAGCUUGUUGGUGGGGUAGUGGCUUACCAAGGCUUUGACGGGUAGCCGGCCUGAGCGGGUGACCGGCCACAUUGGGACUGAGAUACGGCCCAGACUCCUACGGGAGGCAGCAGUGGGGAAGAUUGCACAAUGGGCGGAAGCCUGAUGCAGCAACGCCGCGUGCGGGAUGACGGCCUUCGGGUUGUAAACCGCUUUCGCCUGUGACGAAGCGUGAGUGACGGUAAUGGGUAAAGAAGCACCGGCUAACUACGUG